ensembl:lncRNA
GUUCUGCAGCUCUGAUGGCAGAGCGCUUCUGGUGGCUCGCUGGUGUCCUCUCUGCUGGUGGCUCGCUGGUGUCCUCUCUGCUGGUGGCUCGCUGGUGUCCUCUCUCCUGGUGGCUCGCUGGUGUCCUCUCUCCUGGUUCUGUGUUUAUUUCCGUCGUUGGGGUUUGCUUCUGUAGAUGGUGGUUCUAUCUGAUGGUGGUUGCCCCUGCAGUGGUCCUGCUGUGCGCCUGGCUUACUACUCACAAUUACUUGAAUCAUUUCUGUCAUAGGAAUUGCAUGUAUUAUACAUUGUUCAUUCUGUACACAUGGCAUCCAUUGUAGUCUGUCCACCCCGGGAGUGGGAUCCCUCCUGACGUUCUCCCUAAAGUUUCUUCCCUUUUUUCCUGUUUUUUCCCCCGUUUUUUUCUUUUUUCUGUAUGUGUACAGACUGUAAAGCCCUCGGAUGUCAAUUAUUAUAGAAAGAGAAAUAGAGAGAGAGAGAGAGAGCAGCUCGGUGAGUCCUAAGACAUCCCCUGGCAGUCUGGGCCUAUAGCAGCUUACAUGAGCCACCCCUAACUAUACUUGUUAUCAAAGAGGAAUAUUUUAAGCUUUAUCUUAAAUAAAAGGGUCAUCCCCACAAUGUACAGUGUUCAACUACAACCACACUUAACCUACGCAUUGCAUAAACACUAUUCAGGUUUGCUAGUUUUUCCAAGCCGGACCGCUGAAAUUAGCAGAUCAACAUAGCAUAGACUUGAAGAGUAGUGUAUACAGUUCCUUAUCUUUUUUACCAGCCUAGCUAUUUACGUAUGCAGUACAAUAUUGACACACUUGCUACUGAUUUGUGCGCAGUGCUUUACAAAAACUAAAGAAAAUCUCACAUGUGUUUCUUAAGCGAUAAUUUUGCCCAAGCUAGCAGAUAGCAUAUCUAACUAGCAGGGAAUUCCAACUUCUAACUUCAAAUGGAACACAACGGUAUGAUAUUGGGC